GUCAUACAGGGGCGCAGUGGUUAGCACGUUCGCCUCACACCCCCAGGGUCGGGGGUUUGAUUCCCACCGUGACC